rnacentral:rRNA from 1 species
GCAACGAGCGCAACCCUUGUGUUUAGUUUGCAAACAAGGUCAAGCUGUGCACUCUAGACAGACUGCCGUGGACAACACGGAGGAAGGUGGGGAGUGACGUCAAAUCAUCAUGCCCCUUAUGAUCUGGGCUACACACGUGCUACAAUGGCCGGUACAACGGGCAGCGAAGGAGCGAUCCGGAGCGAAUCCUAAAAAGCCGGUCCCAGUUCGGAUUGCAGGCUGAAACUCGCCUACAUGAAGUUGGAGUUGCUAGUAAUCGCGAAUCAGAAUGUCGCGGUGAAUGCGUUCCCGGGUCUU